rnacentral:rRNA from 1 species
AUGCACUGGAUAGAUUGGAAGUCUCUGUCGCUUCCAAAAAUAAGAGGAGGAAUGGGGUUUCGAGAUUUGGAAUGCUUCAAUGUUGCGUUGUUGGGAAAACAGGGAUGGCGGCUGAUUACAAACCCGCAUGGUCUAUGUUCCAGAGUGCUAAAAGGACGAUAUUUCCCGACGACUGAUUUUAUGCAUGCUACUGUUCCGCGCAACUCUUCGGCUACCUGGCGGGCGAUAGUUGCUGGGAGA